rnacentral:rRNA from 1 species
UACGUAGGGGGCAAGCGUUGUCCGGAAUUAUUGGGCGUAAGAGCUCGUAGGCGGUCUGUCGCGUCGGCUGUGAAAACCCGGAGCUCAACUCCGGGCCUGCAGUCGAUACGGGGCAGACUGGAGUUCGGCAGGGGAGACUGGAAUUCCUGGUGUAGCGGUGAAAUGCGCAGAUAUCAGGAGGAACACCGGUGGCGAAGGCGGGUCUCUGGGCCGAUACUGACGCUGAGGAGCGAAAGCGUGGGGAGCGAACAGG